rnacentral:misc_RNA from 1 species
GUGACAUUGAAUAUCUUGAAAUGCAGAGUGAAAGUGAGCGGUCUCAAAUUGCUUAUGUAACCUUUAAGGACACGCAAGGAGCAGAGACUGCCGUUCUUUUGUCCGGAGCAACUAUAGUGGAUCUUUCUGUGAACAUCACUCUGUGUCCUGAUUACGAGCUCCCUCCCGAAGCUACCGCACCACCACCUGCCCCUGGAACUAAAGCACCUGGUGCUGCUGAAUCUGCCUUUCGGAAAGCAGAGGAUGUGGUGAGCGGCAUGCUAGCCAAGGGCUUUAUCUUGGGUAAAGAUGCACUCAACUCGGCAAAGGCAUUUGAUGAGAAACACCAGUUAUCUUCCACGGCUUCAGCUAAAGUUGCUA